UCGUGUUGCUCCAGACCUACAAUCCACAUACCAGUAUUUAAAGAAGACGGGUCUGCGGUACAUGCCCCGUCUUGAAGAUAGUAACUAAUUACUCCAUCAAUUUUCUUGCAUCAAAAGGAGGUUGUGACGAAGAGACUGAUAACUCUGCAAGAUGUCGAAAUGGCAGCUACCAAUGCUGAUGAAUUUCGUUUCUCAUCAAAUCAAGGUUUGAUUUGAUAGCAGGUGGAAUCUUAGAUAGGAUAAAUGUCAAAGCAAUGUGGAAGGAGAUGACAGGAGAUGUGUGUCUUCUUGAAGAAACAAUUGCAGAGAAGACGAAUAUCAUUGGAGGACCAAGGUUGGAACUAGGACUUGAGUUUUGUUUUAGAGUGUGAAGCAAAGUCUCUACAUAUUUUGGUGAUUUGGUAUAUUUCGUAAUAUAACUACUCAUUUUGUUGUUAAUUUUAGUGUAAUAUUUGAAUAUAUGAAUUUUAAUAAAGUUAAAUUU